CGAGGGGGCGGGACCGCGGCCUUGCGCGAGGGCGACGGCGGAAGCGGCGCCGCGGGAGGGGGUCUGUCGCCAUGGCGACCGCAGCGGAGGGGCUGCCCGAGGCCGGCGCGCAGCCCGCCAAGCAGGAUCCCGCUGUGGAAACAGCAGAGGAAGCUAAGGAACCAGCAGAAGCGGACAUCAAUGAGCUCUGUAAAGAUAUGUUCAGCAAAAUGGCCACUUACUUAACGGGUGAACUGACAGCCACCAGCGAAGACUACAAGCUCUUGGAAAACAUGAACAAGUUGACGAGCUUGAAGUACCUCGAAAUGAAAGAUAUUGCUAUAAACAUCAGUAGAAAUCUGAAGGAUUUAAAUCAAAAAUAUGCUGCUCUUCAGCCAUAUCUGGAACAAAUCAACCUAAUUGAGGAGCAGGUUGCAGCUCUGGAACAGGCAGCUUAUAAAUUGGAUGCGUAUUCCAAAAAACUUGAAGCCAAGUACAAAAAACUGGAGAAACGAUGAAACUGCAACUGUCUUUUUAAGUUGGAGUUGGGCUGUGGGUCAAACUGAUCUCUGAGUUGCACAACAUCGCUUUUAUAUGUUGACAAGGAUUUGGUAAUAGCUAACAUUUGCAAGAUGGCCACAAGAGGGUGAUGUUUCAGCAGAGAAAACUUCCGUAAGAUAAAGUAGUUAAAACAAAGGACCAGUAUUGUGUUAAAACUAUUGCUUUUCUCCUUGAAGAAAAAGCUGUGCUGUUUUAAAAUUACAAAGGUGGAAAACUCCAGGAACUCUGAAGAUGGGGAACCAUCUAGCUAUGUGUUGCACUUUGUGUUUUCAAGUAAAAGAGUUAAGACAUAGUAAACUGCUCCACAGACUCCUGAGUGUUGCACCUGCAGGAGGCAGAGACUGGAGAUGCCUCACAAGCGACUGUUCACUGGGAGAAAAUUUUAGAGAAUGAGUACCUGAGUGAUUAUGUGAUGGUGGCAUCCCAAUUAUGCCAGGAGCUGGCAACUGUGUUCUCAUUUCUGUCUUUAAAUAGCCAUUCUCCUCUCUGAGGGCUCUCUGUGUGAGUGGUGGAAUCCAAAUCAUGGCAAGUUUGGCAGGUCUUUGAAAAGCAGCACCACAGGAGAGACAUGGUGAAAUUCCUUUGAACAGCGUAUUGCUAGCAAACUGUGUAGUCCAAAAGGUUGCUGUUCAAAUAUUUUGCCUGGAAAGUCCAUGAGACAUCGCAGAGGAAGCACAAGGAGAUGGUAAACCUUCCUCUCUUCUCUUCUGUGGCAUUUCCUGGUGCAAAAGAUAAUAAGAAAAUAGUAGUGUUUGAAGAAAGAACAUGGAAGAUCACAGAGGAAAGAGGGUUGAUGGAUUGGAAUCAAGGGACAGAGUAUUUCAUUAAAGUGAUUUGUGCAACUGCUUUGAAGCUGAAAGCAGUUCUUGACAAGUUGAACUGCAACUGCAAACUGGGGAUAAAACUUAUCCUAGCAAAUACAGCAAAUAUGGCAGAAGUUAUCCAAUAUUGGUCUCUAGCUAAAUAUGUUACGUGUGCAGUGUUGCACCUGAUGGCAAGCAUACAAGAGAAAAAAGCAAUAUGUAGAGAACAAACAUUCUGUGAAAGUAUGAUGAGUUUUGUUAAUGAGAGAUUUGUUAAUGAUUAAUGUUUGUCCCUGCUUUCUGGUAUUACAGUAGAAUGAAGUGGAACCUUGACAGAGGUCAAGGUUAAAAAAAAUAAUUAAAAAAAAAAAAAAAGCAGUUCAUCCAA